GGCCUCGUUGCUCAGUUGGCUAGAGCGUUGGCUGUACUAAAGUCUUCCCCUUGCUGGCGUGGGUUCGAAUCCCAUCGAGGCCG
rfam:Schistocephalus solidus strain NST_G2 genome assembly, scaffold: SSLN_scaffold0010789